CCGAGAAAAAGUCAGUCUUGUGCGCCGCCCAGAAGAAAAUAACAGUCAUGAUGGCCUGGUAGCCUCCUAGAACGACUCCAGUAGCAAAAAUUUCUUU
rnacentral:sRNA from 1 species